GGCCGGUUAGCUCAGCUGGUUGAGUGUGGUGCUAAUAACGCCAAGGUCGCGGGUUCGACCCCCGUACGGGCCA
rnacentral:tRNA from 1 species